rnacentral:tRNA from 1 species
GGGGUCGUGAUGUAACCUGGUUUAGCAUAGGAGCUUUGGGAGCUUCAUAUGGGUGUUCAAAUCACCCCGACCCCA